AGAGUAUAAGAAGAGAGAGGUGGUGGUGGUGGUGGUACUCUAACACAUCGAGAAAGAAUGGAGGAAGAAGGUGAAAUAUACGACGGCGUUAGAGCUGAAUUCCCUCUUUCAUUCGGUAAACAAUCCAAAUCUCAAACCCCUCUCGAAACCAUUCACAACGCUACUCGCCGAACUUCUUCUUCUUCUGCUCUUCCCAAUUCCAAAACCCCCAACGAUUUUCCUUCCAUUUCUUCUUCUUCCAAAGAAUGGCUUCAUUCCGUUCGUUCCUCCAAAAACCCUACCCCUCCACCUCCCCUCCACGACGACGACUCCCUCGUCGGACCUCCUCCACCGCCACCACAUAAUGAGGAGGAGGAUGAUGAUGGCGAGAUGAUUGGCCCCCCUCCGCCACCACCUGGUUCCAAUUUGGAUGAUUCCGAUGACGAAGACGACGAUUCGGAUGAAGACCAACCGAGUAACCGCUUUCGUAUUCCUCUUAGUAACGAGAUUGUGCUCAAGGGACAUACUAAGGUUGUGUCGGCUCUUGCUGUGGAUCACACCGGUUCCAGAGUACUAUCUGGAAGCUACGACUAUAUGGUUCGUAUGUAUGAUUUUCAAGGGAUGAAUUCUCGUUUACAAUCGUUUCGACAAAUUGAGCCGUCUGAAGGGCAUCAAAUUCGCAAUUUAAGCUGGAGUCCAACUGCCGAUCGCUUUUUGUGUGUGACCGGAUCAGCUCAAGCUAAGAUUUAUGAUCGUGAUGGCCUCACUCUGGGUGAGUUUGUAAAGGGAGACAUGUAUAUUCGUGAUUUAAAGAAUACCAAGGGUCAUAUAACUGGAUUGACAUGUGGAGAGUGGCACCCAAAAACUAAGGAGACUAUUUUAACAUCAUCAGAGGAUGGGUCGCUCCGCAUAUGGGAUGUAAAUGACUUCACAACUCAAAAGCAGGUCAUUAAACCAAAGCUCGCGAGACCUGGAAGAGUUCCUGUCACCACAUGUGCAUGGGAUCAUGAUGGUAAAUGCAUUACUGGUGGUAUAGGAGAUGGUUCUAUACAGAUUUGGAGUAUUAAACCCGGAUGGGGGAGUAGGCCUGAUAUAUAUAUUGAAAAAUGUCAUGAGGAUGAUAUUACUAGUCUGAAAUUUUCUUCUGAUGGGAGAACCUUAUUGUCAAGGAGCUCUGAUGAUUCAUUGAAGGUUUGGGAUCUGCGCAAAACAAAGGAAGCAUUAAAGGUAUUUGAAGAGUUGCCAAAUCACUACGGACAAACAAAUAUUGGCUUCAGUCCUGAUGAGCAACUAUUUUUUACUGGAACAUCUGUAGAAAGGGAUAGCGCAACAGGAGGUUUAUUGUGCUUCUUUGAUAGACUAAAUCUUGAGCUUGUUUCAAAAGUUGGCAUAUCACCCACUUGCAGUGUUGUUCAGUGUUCUUGGCAUCCUAAACUGAAUCAGAUCUUUGCAACUGUUGGUGAUAAAAGCCAAGGAGGGACUCACAUACUAUAUGAUCCAACCAUCAGUGAGAGAGGAGCUCUUGUUUGUGUUGCACGUGCACCAAGGAAAAAAUCAAUGGAUGACUUUGAGGCAAAUCCUGUCAUUCACAAUCCUCAUGCUUUACCUCUAUUUAGAGAUCAGCCAAGCCGCAAGCGUCAGCGAGAGAAGGUAUUAAAGGAUCCAUUGAAGUCCCAUAAGCCUGAACUACCUAUGACAGGACCUGGCUUUGGCGGACGAGUUGGUACAAGUCAAGGAAGCUUACUGACCCAAUAUCUUCUAAAGAAAGGUGGUAUGAUUAAGGAGACAUGGAUGGAUGAAGAUCCAAGGGAAGCUAUCCUAAAAUAUGCUGAUGUUGCAGCUAAAGAACCAAAGUUUAUAGCUCCAGCAUAUGCCGAAACUCAACCCGAGCCAUUGUUUGCAAAGUCAGAUUCUGAGGAUGAAGAGAAAUGAGUGUAUCAUGAAAUUAUCAUUGAUGGUAUCAUUGCAGAAGGGGCAGCAGACAACAGUGAUUCAGAACUCAGAAACUGUUCCUUUUUCCAACAUGCAGGGAGGCAUCCUCCUCGGCAAAGCUUCAUUAAUACAGCUGGAAUGAUGUUGAACUUGAAUUUGGCAUGGUAUGGACAUGACUGCUAUGGUGAUGAAACUAAAUUGUUGGUAUCAGAAACAAUCCUUAGAAAGCACGUUUCAGAAGCCGGAGAUUUGUUUUACAGCUAGCAAUAGAUUAGACACUUACUUGACAACAAUCAUAAAAGAAUGCCUCAACUUUUCAAAUAUUUCUAGCAAGAAGAGCAAUCCAUUGGAUUUUGAUGUUCAGGUUCAAUAUAUAGGAAAUGCACAUUAUUAAAUGAAAAAAUCAGCGUGUUUCACUAUUUGAUUAAUUAUUAAUUAUUAGUAAUAAGUUUGUUUGAUCAAAA